rnacentral:tRNA from 1 species
UGUCCUGUGGUGUAAUGGUAACACAUCGGAUUCUGGUUCCGCUUUUCCGGGUUCGAGUCCUGGCAGGACAA